UACGUAGGUGGCAAGCGUUGUCCGGAUUUAUGGGGUUUAAAGGGUGCGUAGGCGGUCUUUUAAGUCAGUGGUGAAAUACUUCAGCUUAACUGGAGAGGUGCCAUUGAUACUGGGAGACUUGAGUACUGAUGAGGUAGGCGGAAUGGACGGUGUAGCGGUGAAAUGCUUAGAUAUCGUCCAGAACACCGAUAGCGAAGGCAGCUUACUAAGGAGUAACUGACGCUGAGGCACGAAAGUGUGGGGAUCAAACAGG
rnacentral:rRNA from 1 species